rnacentral:tRNA from 1 species
UCAUCAAUAAUAAAAUUUCACUGUUAAUGAAAAAAAAGAAUAAAUAAUUCUUGAUGAA